rnacentral:rRNA from 1 species
AAUAGAUACCCCGGUAGUCCUAGCAGUAAACGAUGGCUACUAGGUGUGGGGGGGUGUUGACCCCCUUCCGUGCCGAAGCUAACGCAUUAAGUAGCCCGCCUGGGGAGUACGGUCGCAAGACUAAAACUCAAAGGAAUUGACGGGGUCCCCCGCACAAAGCAGCGGAGCGUGUGGUUUAAUUCGAUGCAACGCGAAGAACCUUACCAGGUCUUGACAUCCCUCUGACGGGUAUAGAGAUAUAUCUUUCCUUCGGGACAGAGGAGACAGGUGGUGCAUGGCUGUCGUCAGCUCGUGUCGUGAGAUGUUGGGUUAAGUCCCGCAACGAGCGCAACCCCGUAUGCUUAGUUGCCAGCGGUACGGCCGGGCACUCUAAGGAGACUGCCGGUGACAAACCGGGAGGAAGGCGGGGAUGACGUCAAGUCAUCAUGCCCCGUUAUGACCUGGGCUACACACGUGCUACAAUGGCCGGUACAGAGCGCAGCAAAGCCGUGAGGUAGAGCGAAUCGCAAAAAGCCGGUCCCGAGUUCGGAUCGGAGGCUGC